rnacentral:lncRNA from 1 species
GGGGUCCGCAUGGACAGAGAGGGCUUUGCCAGAGGAUUAUAGGAUGAGAGGGGGAGUAGCCGGGUCAGGAGCGAGCCUAUAGAGCGGCCAUCUUUCUAGAGGAUAAUUAAUGCGUGCCAAGCUGGAGGGCUGAUCCCUGCCGCCCGCCCGCCGGACUCACUCCAAACAGGACUGUGAAGGAAGGUUUCAUCUGUGUCACAGUUGUUUGCAUUCU